AUUGAACGCUGGCGGCAUGCCUUACACAUGCAAGUCGAACGGCAGCACGGGGGCAACCCUGGUGGCGAGUGGCGAACGGGUGAGUAAUGCAUCGGAACGUACCCGGAAGUGGGGGAUAACGUAGCGAAAGUUACGCUAAUACCGCAUAUUCUGUGAGCAGGAAAGUGGGGGACCGCAAGGCCUCACGCUUUCGGAGCGGCCGAUGUCGGAUUAGCUAGUUGGCGGGGUAAAGGCACACCAAGGCGACGAUCCGUAGCGGGUCUGAGAGGAUGAUCCGGCACACUGGGACUGAGACACGGCCCCGACUCCUAUGGGGGGCAGCAGUGGGGAAUUUUGGACGAUGGGGGCAACCCUGAUCCAGCCAUGCCGCGUGAGUGAAGAAGGCCUUCGGGUUGUAAAGCUCUUACGGCCGGGAAGAAAUCGCACGGGCUAAUACCCUGUGUGGAUGACGGUACCGGAAUAAGAAGCACCGGCUAACUACGUGCCAGCAGCCGCGGUAACAC
rnacentral:rRNA from 1 species